AGCAUGUGGUUUAAUUCGAUGCAACGCGAAGAACCUUACCUACCCUUGACAUCCAGAGAAUCUGUUAGAGAUAGUAGAGUGCCUUCGGGACCUCUGAGACAGGUGCUGCAUGGCUGUCGUCAGCUCGUGUCGUGAGAUGUUGGGUUAAGUCCCGUAACGAGCGCAACCCUUAUCCUUAGUUGCUAGCAGGUCAUGCUGAGAACUCUAGGGAGACUGCCGGUGAUAAACCGGGGGAAGGUGGGGACGACGUCAAGUCAUCAUGGCCCUUAUGGGUAGGGCUACACACGUGCUACAAUGGUCGGUACAGAGGGCCGCGAACUCGCGAGAGCCAGCAAAUCCCAGAAAGCCGAUCUUAGUCCGGAUUGCAGUCUGCAACUCGACUGCAUGAAGUUGGAAUCGCUAGUAAUCGCAGAUCAGAAUGCUGCGGUGAAUACGUUCCCGGGCCUUGUACACACCGCCCGUCACACCAUGGGAGUGGGUUGCAAAAGAAGUGGGUAGUCUAACUUUCGAGAGGGCGCUCACCACUUUGUGAUUCAUGACUGGGGUGAAGUCGUAACAAGGUA
rnacentral:rRNA from 1 species